rnacentral:tRNA from 1 species
ACGAAAGAUUGACGAUUGGUAAGAAUCCACAACAAGUUGUUCUUCAUAGAUGUAUCUGAGGGUCUGUAGCUCAGUUGGUUAGAGCACACGCUUGAUAAGCGUGGGGUCACAAGUUCAAGUCUUGUCAGACCCACCAUGACUUUGACUGGUUGAAGUUAUAGAUAAAAGAUACAUGAUUGAUGAUGUAAGCUGGGGACUUAGCUUAGUUGGUAGAGCGCCUGCUUUGCACGCAGGAGGUCAGGAGUUCGACUCUCCUAGUCUCCACCAGAACUUAAGAUAAGUUCGGAUUACAGAAAUUAGUAAAUAAAGAUUGAGAUCUUGGUUUAUUAACUUCUGUGAUUUCAUUAUCACGGUAAUUAGUGUGAUCUGACGAAGACACAUUAACUCAUUAACAGAUUGGCAAAAUUGAGUCUGAAAUAAAUUGUUCACUCAAGAGUUUAGGUUAAGCGAUUAAUCUAGAUGAAUUGAGAACUAGCAAAUUAACUGAAUCAAGCGUUUUGGUAUGUGAAUUUAGAUUGAAGCUGUACGGUGCUUAAGUGCACAGUGCUCUAAACUGAAAUGUUGAAGUUACUAACUUGUAGGUAACAUCGACUGUUUGGGGUUGUAU